UACGGAGGAUCCAAGCGUUAUCCGGAUUCAUUGGGUUUAAAGGGUGCGUAGGCGGAAUGAUAAGUCAGUGGUGAAAGCCUGCAGCUUAACUGCAGAACUGCCAUUGAUACUGUCAAUCUUGAGUACAUUUGAUGUGGGCGGAAUGUGUCAUGUAGCGGUGAAAUGCUUAGAUAUGACACAGAACACCGAUUGCGAAGGCAGCUCGCUACACCUGCAUUGACUCUGAGGCACGAAAGCGUGGGGAUCAAACAGG
rnacentral:rRNA from 1 species